AAUGUGUCAACGUGCCCUUUCCUUGCCCCAUGUUGGUGGGCAAUUGACCGUAGCUCGGUGCGAUCGGCACCAAGGAACAAUGAACUUAGAAGCAGAGGGCCCUCGACGUGCGCGUGGAGCCCAAUGCGUCGGAGAUGCCUCGGAAUCAAAUGACUCUCGGCAAUGGAUAUCUCGGCUCUUGCAUCGAUGAAGAACGUAGUGAAAUGCGAUACUUGGUGUGAAUUGCAGAAUCUCGUGAACCAUUGAGUCUUUGAACGCAAGUUGUGCCCGAGGCCUUGUGGCCGAGGGCACGCCUGCUUGGGCGUCAUGGCAUGUCGCCUUUGCUCCUUGCUUUGCUGGUGCCAAGCGCGGAAAUUGGCCUCGUGUGCCCUCGGGCACAGUCGGUCGAAGUGCGGGUAGUCGGCAGUCGUCGGGCGCGAUGGGUGUUGGUCGCCCUGUGCGUGAACUGAACGUCGUCCCCGUCGUGUCGGGAUGAGUCCUCAAGUGAUUGCGGCGUCGCGUGAAAGCGCCGUGUCCGUCAUAUUGUGGCCCCAAGUCAGGCGAGGCCCACCCGCCGAGUUUAAGCAUAU
rnacentral:rRNA from 1 species